rnacentral:rRNA from 1 species
AGCGAACGCUGGCGGCAGGCCUAACACAUGCAAGUCGAACGAACCUUCCGGGCUUAUUGGCGGUCGUGUGGGUACCAACUGGGAACUUGCCCUUAGGUACGGUAUCCCUCAGUGAAACUUGUGCUAAUACCGCAUGUGCUCUUCGCGGGUAGGAUUGCUCGCCGUUAGAGCGGCCGGCGUCUGUUUAGCUAGUUGGGUGUGGAAAUGGCUCUGCAAUGCGACGUUCAGGAGCUGUUGUGGGAGGAGGCUAAGCCACAUUGGCGCUGAGACACGGCCCACAAUCGUACGGAAGGCAGCAGUGGGGAAUCUAGCGCAAUGGACGAAAGCGUGACGCAGCCAUGCGGGGUGAAUGAGGAAGGUCUUAGGAUUGUAAAUUUCUUUGACCGGGGACGAGAAUGACGGUACCGGGAGAAGAAGCACCGGCUAACUUCGUG